rnacentral:ncRNA from 1 species
AUUUGUUUAAUUAUGGCAAUAGAAAGUUAGUUUCUAUUUACUGCAUAAAACUAUAAUUUAUUGAGAUAGAUAUUAGCUUAGAUUUGAUUAAGUUUAAUUAGCAGUUAUUUUUUUGUUAAAAUCAAUGUUUUAUAAGAAUAGAAGCUAAAAAGGGGAUAGGUCACAGUGCCAGCAUCUGCGGUUAUUCUGUUUUCUUUGCUUUCUAGUAGAAUAUAUAUUUAAUUAUUAACUUGAAAAAUUAGGUUAAAUUUUUUUUUGGUUGAUGUUGAAUAGUUAAGUUUAAGGAAAGUUUGGUUUAUGACAGGGAUUAGAUACCCCAUUAAUAUUUUCUUAAUUUGAUCUUAGUUAAAUAACUAAAAUAAUUUGGCAGUGAGUGAUUCUUAUUAGGGGAAGGUGUAAUAUAAAGGAUGAUCCGCCUAAUAAUUUACUUUUAUUAUGUUGGUGUAUAUCUGGUUUAAUAUUAUCGUUUAGUAAGUAUAGGUUGUGUAAGUUUAUUUAAGCCAAGUCUAUGUGCUGUUUAUAGAAGUAUUUAUGCGUUACAUUGAUAAGGUGCCUGGUGUAAUAUAGGUUAAUUUAGGACUUAAUAGUAAUAUUAAAUAAGUUUGUUGAUAUGAAGUAAGUUUAGCUCAUGUACACACCGCCCGUCACCCUCGAUUAUUAUUGAGGUAAGUCGUAACAAGGUAACUUUAAAUGAAUUUGAAGUUAGUUACUGGAUUUAGUACCAGUUGUA